GCUUUAACAUAAUAAUGCAAAUAUUUAUGCAGUGAGCACCAUUUCACAUUGAACAAUUUUAUCUUUGUAGAAAGUGCAAAUAAUGUGCUGCAGGAGAAAGUCAAAACAUUAGAAAUAAAGGAAGAAGCCAUGUGUAAACUUCAAGAGAGGGUUCAACAAUUAGAGAUCCAGGUAUUUGACGGUCAAAUCCUUCUUGAUAAGGAACGUGUCAAAUACAAAAACGCAUGUCAUCAACAAGAGUCAAUGCAGGUAAAGCACCAAUCUUUGUUGGCGAGCGUUGAUGCUCUCAGUGAGGAGUGUGAAGACCUGCAGAGAUGUUUAGGAAAUCAAGAGGAGAAGGAAGUUGACCUAAACAAGCAGCUGCAAGAGGUUUCAGAAGAGAAGGAAAGGCUGCAGGUUCUACUCGACCAAGAAAAGGCCAUGUGCUUGGAGAACCAAAAGGAAAAAAAGGCUUUAGAAACAAACAGAGAUGAGCUGAACAAAACUGUGAGUGACUUGGUGCAAGUGUUGCUGGUGAGGGAACGACUGUUGGUGGCUUUCACAGAGCUCUCCCCUCUGCAUCAGGCACAGUCACAGGGGAGCAAUCGUGCAACAGAGGAACCCGCGCCCACACCAGAACCAGCACAGGCCUGCACUGCCCCACAAUACAACACCAUACACGGGGAGGACGCCAUCAACCACCCAAGCAGUCCCACCCCGCCCAAGAUGUUGAGGCGCCACACCAAACCGUGGCCAGUUCCCGUGCAGAUGGCAGAAGUGCGCGCCCCGAGAGGCCUAAAACAAAGACCAGCCCUCGAGAAACCCCAUCCCCGGCACGGCACCCACGGGGUCCGCAAGAACGAAAGAGGAGGAGGGGGCGAGGGUAAGACAGGGGGACUGAGAGUAAGAGGAACAGCCCGGGGACCAGGAGUAUAUCCAGAGGCACAAUACAUGCGCGCAGAGACAUUCAGACACCCCAACAUCCCACACAAAGGUCCAAGGCCGAAGCCUCCCCAAAAACCCUGGGAGCGCCAGAUCCCCAGUUGGAGUGUGUUUAGUGUGUCAACAAAGAGUGGUGCUGGUAGUCGCUGGCAGGCUAGAUGAUCAGGGUAAAAAAAUUUAUGCAUUUUAAAAAAGGAG
rnacentral:lncRNA from 1 species